UCCCUGGUGGUCUAGUGGUUAGGAUCUGGCUCUUUCACCCCUGUGACCCAGGUUUAAUCCCUGGUCUGGGAA
rnacentral:tRNA from 1 species